GAUGAACGCUGGCGGCGUGCCUAAUACAUGCAAGUCGAGCGAACGGACGAGAAGCUUGCUUCGCUGAUGUUAGCGGCGGACGGGUGAGUAACACGUGGAUAACCUACCUAUAAGACUGGGAUAACUUCGGGAAACCGGAGCUAAUACCGGAUGAUAUUUUGAACAGCAUGGUUCAAAAGUGAAAGACGGUCUUGCUGUCACUUAUAGAUGGAUCCGCGGUGCAUUAGCUAGUUGGUAAGGUAACGGCUUACCAAGGCAACGAUGCAUAGCCGACCUGAGAGGGUGAUCGGCCACACUGGAACUGAGACACGGUCCAGACUCCUACGGGAGGCAGCAGUAGGGAAUCUUCCGCAAUGGGCGAAAGCCUGACGGAGCAACGCCGCGUGAGUGAUGAAGGUCUUCGGAUCGUAAAACUCUGUUAUUCGGGAAGAACAUAUGUGUAAGUAACUGUGCACAUCUUGACGGUACCUAAUCAGAAAGCCACGGCUAACUACGUG
rnacentral:rRNA from 1 species